AUGGCUGGGGGGGGCGGUGGGACCACCCCGGGGGGACGGAGGAGGCUGGGGGCUGCCCGGUGCCCCGGGGUGCCCUUGGGGUGCUGCGCGCCCGGCUGGGCUGUCUGGGGGGGGAGGGAUGGAGGGAACCCCCCCCGGGGUGCGGGGACAUCCCCCGGGGUGCGGGAAGCCCCCCCGGGGGAUGAGGACCCCCCCCCGGGGAUAAGGGACCCCAUUCGGGGAUGCGGGACCCCCCCCGGGAUGCGGGAUCCCCAGCCGGGGAUGCGGGACCCCCCCCCUCUCAGGAUGCGGGACCCCUUCCCGGGCGCACGGGACCCCUCCCGGACCGCGGGACGCCCCCCCUCGGGAUGCGGGACCCCCAUUAGGGACGCGGCCCCCUCCCCCGGCAUGCGGGACACCCCCUGGAGGUGCGGGAUCCCCCCGCGUUUCGGUGCCCCGGGACGCAGCGGUGCCACCCGCGAUGCUCCAACCCCGCGUCCCCGCGGGUGCCCUCGGGGGUCCCGGUCCCGGUGCCGACCCCGGAGCCGCAGCCGCGGUGCGGUGCUGGACCGGCCGCUCCUGGGGGUGGGGGGUGGGGGGGCUCUGCACCGCGUCCUGGCCCCCAGCCAGCUCCAGCGGGUCCCUUCCCGGGGCUGCAGCAGCCUCCGGGCAUCCCCUGUGCCCCCCCUUUACCGGUGGGGUGCAGCGGUGCCGGGGCGCAGCAGCUCCGGGGUACCCAAACGCAGCCUUUGCGCCCGCGUCCUGCCCCCGGUGCCCCCCUGCAGCCUACUUUCAGAGGGCCGGGCGCGAUCCCAAAAGAGCUCUGCCAAUUGCGCAGGGGAAAGGCAGUUUUGCAAGGUGACUGUGGUGCAGGGGGGGGGGGACACACACACACAAGCCUGUGCCACGCGUCGCCGUGCGGUCCUCAGCCGUGCCCCGGGGCUUGGGCACCUCUGCGGGUCCCCCGUGCGCUGCGGGCAGCGCGGUGCAGCACCCGCCUGGCCUCCGGGUGAGCUGGGCAGGUGCUGCUGCGGGAUGUCACCCGCUGCGGGAUGUCACCCUCUCCAAGAUGCCACCCUCUCCAGGAUGUCACCCUCUCCGUGA
rnacentral:lncRNA from 1 species